rnacentral:rRNA from 1 species
AUGUUGAAUCGGGAGAUGGGUACCUUCAGACAGCAGCCUCGCUUCCUGUCUUGUUUCCUGCGUGAGUGUGUGUCUAAGAUGUGGCGGCUCUCACGGGAGAAGGGAAGAGGGGCUCCUCUUCUAGGUCAGCACCUCUCAUGGGCUUGGGCCCAAGAGACAGAUCUUGAUGGGCUAGGGCCCAUACCGGUUCAACACUCCCCCUCAAAAUGGGUGGUAGAUAUCUAUCAUCCCCAUCUUGUCACACGCCAAGUUACAGUCCUUUGUUCCCAGUCCCUUUGUCAAGCAAUCUGCAAACUGCUGCCUAGAGCUGACAUGAGUAAGGCUGAUGAUCCCAGCAUCUAG